UAUUUUUAUCUGAGAAUUGUUGGUUGUUUGGCUUAUUUUCUCUGAAAAUUUGGAUGUUUCCUUACACUGUUUUGUCAGAUAUUUUUAUUUUAGAGAAACUGGUGAAAGAGCAAGCUUCCGUGAAGACAGAUCUAGACAUGGCGGUACCUCUCUUUGUUUCUCCCUGUGUCUGUCGGUGCUUUCGUUUAAUUUGUUCGAUCAAGCUCGCACACAAGAAUUUUUUACCAAUAUAUGAUCGUUAAGAACAUUAGAAGAAAAGUUAUAGAAUGCGUUUAAUGAAAAUGCUAAACUCAAGGUGAAACAGAAAGAGGAUGAGAAGCUGUGGAAUGGCUUAGAAUCUAAAUUUCUUACGAAAACACUACGAUCAACUCACUGAAACUUUAAAGCAAUUAGCCAGUCAAGUUCAUGAUGCUGAGAAAGAUAAGGAGUUAUUUGAAGGCAAACUGUCUGCAAAUGCAAAUGUUCUUGAUGAUUUGAAUCAGCAAAUGAAUUAAUUUGUUGCAAAAUCAUCCAAUAUAGGUUAUGAUACCACUGAUUUUGUAAAUUAUUGGACGAAUUUUUAAUUUUCUCUUAAUUAUUGCUACUAUAUAUUUGUGUUUGUUGGGGGAAUAACUUCCAUGGUUGUUUUUAUCUUGUUUCAUGAUUGGAUUAGAUGUAAUGAGAAUAUUUAUGAUCAACUUUCUUCUGCUAUAUAUCUUUGCCAAAGUAUCAUUUUUUUUCUUUUUAGUUUUUGCUUGCUUUAGAUGGAAACUAGGAAGGUGAAAGUUUCCUUUAAUUUUUGAUUACUUAUUUCUGUAUAACCCACUAAUUAAUAUUGUUUGUAUUAUAGAGGGAGUAAGAGAAGAAUCACAUCUUUUAGUUAUAAGAUUUGUUUUUGUAUUAGUCACAAUGGUGUUUUUUUGAUAUAGAUUCUUGGAUAAGAGUCAUUAGACAUAAUUUUUUGAGUAUUUCAUUUCAGAUUGAAGAAAGUAGACUACAUCAAUGAUGACUCUGUUGGCUUAAAAGAAACAGUGUGUUGAAGCAUAAUAUUGGAACUUGAAAAGCUUGUCCCUUCAAUCUAGCUGCACGAAAGAAAUGUCUCAGCAGCAAGAAAUGGUACCACUUGGGGAGGAACUUGCUACCUUGCACCUCUUACCAGAGCCAUCAUGGAAAAUGCUUAUGGGGAAAAAUAUUGGACUAUUGGUAUUUUAUCCACAAUUUACUUUAUUCAACUUUUUUUCAAUCUAAAACCCAUGUACCUGUAUGCUUUG